rnacentral:rRNA from 1 species
GAUGAACGCUGGCGGCGUGCCUAAUACAUGCAAGUCGAGCGAACGGACGAGAAGCUUGCUUCUCUGAUGUUAGCGGCGGACGGGUGAGUAACACGUGGAUAACCUACUUAUAAGACUGGGAUAACUUCGGGAAACCGGAGCUAAUCCCGGAUAAUAUUUUGAACCGCAUGGUUCAAAAGUGAAAGACGGCCUUGCUGUCACUUAUAGAUGGAUCCGCGCUGCAUUAGCUAGUUGGUAAGGUAACGGCCUACCAAGGCAACGAUGCAUAGCCGACCUGAGAGGGUGAUCGGCCACCCGGGAACUGAGACACGGUCCAGACUCCUACGAGAGGCAGCAGUAGGGAAUCUUCCGCAAUGGGCGAAAGUCUUACGGAGCAACGCCGCGUGAGUGAUGAAGGUCUUCGGAUCGUAAAACUCUGUUAUUAGGGAAGAACAUAUGUGUAAGUAACUGUGCACAUCUUGACGGUACCUAAUCAGAAAGCCACGGCUAACUACGUG